rnacentral:rRNA from 1 species
CACGAACGCUGGCGGCGUGCCUAAUACAUGCAAGUAGGACGCAGUUGCGAACGGGUGAUUAACGCGUAGGUAACUGCCUAUUAGAGGGGGAUAACUAUUGGAAACGAUAGCUAAUACCGCAUACUAGUAGAUGGACCUGCGUUGUAUUAGCUAGUAGGUAGGGUAAUGGCCUACCUAGGCGACGAUACAUAGCCGCCCUGGGAGGGGGAUCGGCCACACUGGGACUGGGGAACGGCCCAGACUCCUACGGGAUGCAGCAGUAGGGGAUCUUCGGCAAUGGGGGGAACCCUGAACGGGCAACGCCGCGGGAGUGGAGAAGGUUUUCGGAUCGGAAAGCUCUGUUGUUAAGGAAGCGGUACUUAACCAGAAAGGGACGGCUAACUACGUGCCAGCAGCCGCGGUAAUUC